UACAUGGGAACCUACCUUUUGGUUCGGAAUAACGUCGGGAAACUGACGCUAAUACCGGAUACGUCCUUCGGGUGAAAGAUUUAUCGCCGAUAGAUGGGCCCAUGUUGGAUUAGCUCGUUGGUGAGGUAACGGCUCACCAAGGCUACGAUCCAUAGCUGGUCUGAGAGGAUGAUCAGCCUCACUGGGACUGAGACACGGCCCAGACUCCUACGGGAGGCAGCAGUGGGGAAUAUUGGACAAUGGGCGCAAGCCUGAUCCAGCCAUGCCGCGUGAGUGAUGAAGGCCUUCGGGUUGUAAAGCUCUUUUGGCGGGGACGAUGAUGACGGUACCCGCAGAAUAAGCUCCGGCUAACUUCGUG
rnacentral:rRNA from 1 species